rnacentral:rRNA from 1 species
UACGUAGGGGGCGAGCGUUGUCCGGAAUCAUUGGGCGUAAAGCGCGUGUAGGCGGCCCGAUAAGUCUGGUGUGAAAACUUGAGGCUCAACCUCAAGCUGUCAUUGGAUACUGUCGGGCUAGAGUACGGAAGAGGAGAGUGGAAUUCCUGGUGUAGCGGUGAAAUGCGCAGAUAUCAGGAAGAACACCAAUGGCGAAAGCAGCUCUCUGGGACGGUACUGACGCUGAGACGCGAAAGCGUGGGGAGCGAACAGG